rnacentral:lncRNA from 1 species
UGGCCCAGCUGAAACAUAUUCCCCAGGUAGUUUUUAUCAGUCUCAGAAGUGGCUACAGGGAAGUGUUCCUGAGGCAUAUUAAGCAGUUGAGGUUAGUACCUAAUCUAUAAGGUUUAUUUCUUUACUGAAGUUGUUCCCUGAUGUUAUGAUAAAAAAGAAAGGGCCUGAGUCUAUGUAGUUGUAGUCUGGUGCCUGCUUUCAAAUGCUUAUUCUUAAAAAACCAAACGUACACCUGAACCAAAAUGUUAUCAGCAGUUUUAAAAGAAUACUUAAUUAGUUGUACCUUCUAGUUUAUUGCUGUUCCUGCAUAUGUGUGAUGCAGGACGCUAAUUCUGAUUGUUCUCUAAGAAUCCUAUACAGAAAUAUGGAUGAAGAUACUCAGAAGACACUACAUGUAACACUGCCAGCAGAAGAGUCCAGAAAUGGAUCUGUAAGGACUUUAUUUGGUCCAUGGAGCAAUAGUUUGGACUAGUUAAAUGGGAGCACAUGAAGUGUCAAUGUAUCUCAACCUUGGCCAUAAAAAAUUGAGCUGAUGUUCCAAUUUUAUUUCUGACUGUGUGACCCUGAAAUCAUAGUUAAGAUGAAACCAGUGUACCCCUGGUUUAGAAAAGUAACUGCUUGUAUAGGGAGACAUUGUACUCAAAGCACAUUACUGUUGAACAUCAGUGGAGACUGCAGUGUUCACGACAGUACAGGGCUAAUGCCAACAAUAUAUAGUUUUCCUUUGUAGAAUUUUCACUGUUGAGGGUGAUACUCUUCUUGUUGUCACAGUAGUACUUUCUUUGCACAG